GGCGCGGUAGCAAAAUGGUUAUGCUGCGGAUUGCAAAUCCGCCGAUGCCGGUUCGAUUCCGGCCCGCGCCUCCA
rnacentral:tRNA from 1 species